rnacentral:rRNA from 1 species
GAUCCUGGCUCAGGACGAACGCUGGCGGCACGCUUAACACAUGCAAGUCGAACGGUGAAGAGAAGCUUGCUUCUCGGAUCAGUGGCGGACGGGUGAGUAACACGUGAGCAACCUGCCUUUAAGAGGGGGAUAACGUUUGGAAACGAACGCUAAUACCGCAUAACAUAGAAGAUUCGCAUGUUUCUUCUAUCAAAGAUUUAUCGCUUAAAGAUGGGCUCGCGUCUGAUUAGCUUGUUGGUG